rnacentral:lncRNA from 12 species
GUCAAAAUCAGGCAUGCAAGGCACAAUGUAGCAAGGGAAGUAGGCAGCUCUCAUGUGGGCAGGGGCCCAUUUCAGUGGAACAAGGUCCCUUCUCCUGGCUUUGCUGAAGAUAUAGGCCUCAUUAUCAGCCCUUCUGUCUAGGUGACAAUGUUUGCAUGAGGGCUGGUCAUUGCUCACAACACACAGCAGCUUGUUGCUUGGCAAUACAUUGCCUCCACUGGCAUUAUUUCCUCACAGACCUGAGGCACAUGCAUCUGUGAUGUAUGUUCUCUCCAGGGGCUAUUUAUAAGGGGAGGAGAUCAGGGCUCAAGCAACGAUGGAAGGAGGGUCCUGACAGUGACACCUGGAAUGAUAUAGGACUCGGGACCAUGGACAGGCAGUGAUCAGCU